AAACCUCUCAAAACACUCUCCCCUUUCUCUCCAAGUUUGGCCAAGUGCCACCAUGGCUCUACCAUGGCCACCAGCCGCUGGCGACGGCUACUGCCGUCCGCGGUGGCCGGAGUUCACUGGAAAAAGGCCAUUUUGGCUAUUUCUCCUCCCUUGACCCGUUUUUGAGAUGAAAACUUCAAAAAGCAAAGAAAAUAGAAGAAACUUUCCAUUUUCCGAUUCGUAACAAAGGUAAGAAAAUUUAUUUCGAAAAUAUAUUGAUAUAUUUUGCUAUGUUGAAAGUAGAUGAUGCAAUAUUUAACAAUACCUUAGAGAAACUAAAAGAACUUCUUAUUUGAUGUUUUUUUUUAUUUUCGAUUCACUCUUUUUUUGUAUUCGAAAUCUGUCUGUAAAAAUAUUACAUUGAAGUUCUUGUGGCUAUAUAGCCGAAUACCUAUUAUUAUCAAUUUCUUUUUGUUUGUUUUUAUCACUGUCUGCCUUUGCGUGUUGCGUUGUCUCUGUUCUUCUUUUGGGUCUGUUUACAGGUUGAGGGGAAGGUCAACGAGCGGGGCUUCUAUUUUGGUGCAAGGGAUGGGCAGAGCCGACCCUCGAGUGCUUAGUGCACUACAGAAGCACGUGGAUGGCAGGAGGGAGGCGCAGUGCUGAAGGUUAGCUUGGGUUUUGGCUUUGCUGAAACUGGUUUAAGCAUUGGGCUUAUCAGGCCAUCAAGUUUUUUGGGCUAGUGUAAUCAGGCUAUUUUGCUUGGGUUUUAAUUGGGUUGAUAGGUUUUGGGUUAGGUUUAGUUUAGUUGGGUUUAGGUUUGUUUUGGGCUUUGGGUUUUGCAAUUAGGUGUUAGUUUGGGUUUUAUUCCUACAUAGGCCCCGGGCAAAAAUUGGGCUGUACAAUCAUCACCAAACACAACGACUUUUUGGCCCAGUGCAAGGUGAUUCCACUCUUUCUUAUUGAUU
rnacentral:lncRNA from 1 species